CAACCUCAUUUUUGGAGUUUAGGAGGGAAUUCUCAAAAGCAAUAAGCUUUCACGAUUUGAACAAAAUGGAAGCGGGAUCCGGACUGUUGUGGGUCGGGUUUUCCAUUUCCGAAUUGACUUGGAUCCCUUAUAUUUCUUUUUUUGAAAGCUUUCUUCCUCUACACAUCAGAUCUCCUUCGUCUCUACCAUCACCCUCAAAACCCUAGCGGCGCAUAUGCAUCAUCUUCAGCAAAUCCACACAUCUUCUUCAGCAAAUCGAACGAUAGUGAUUCUCAUGUUACCUUUACACCACCGAUUCUGUAGAUUUGAGAUGCAGUUACCCGAGAUUUCGGAUAGUAGAUCAGCAAACUAAAAUCUGGAUAAAGAUUUGUUUUUUCAUCUAGAAACGCUGAAAAUGACGCAACGUUUUGGGGAUCGAUGAAGGAAGAUUAUGUAGCAAUUAAUCCUCCCAGUGGUUUUCAAGGUUGAUGGAAUUGUGGAUAGAUAUCGACAUAUGGUAUUGAGAUGCGGGUAAGUUUAGAGUUAAGACAAAAGAAUUAGGGAGCAUUCUCUCAAUUUUUGGCUACACAGGUAUGUAAAUUUAUAUCAAUCAUUGUUUGUUACUUAUAUUGAUUAUUGAUCUUUAUGUUGAGCAUUCUCUCAACUUUUGU